rnacentral:rRNA from 1 species
CCCUUAGAUGUUCUGGGCUGCACGCGCGCUACACUGAAGCGUUCAACGAGUAUUCACCUUGCCCGGGAGGGGUAAUCUCGAAUACACUUCGUGAUGGGGAUAGAUCAUUGCAAUUAUUGAUCUUCAACGAGGAAUUCCUAGUAAGCGCAAGUCAUCAGCUUGCGCUGAUUACGUCACUGCUUUUUGUACACACCGCCCGUCGCUCCUACCGAUUGAAUGUUCCGGCGAGCCAUUCGGACGAUAUGCUUUUGGUUUACCAUUAGCACUUCGGAAGUUUUGCAAGCCAUAAUAUUUAGAGGAAGGAGAAGUCGUAACA